rnacentral:tRNA from 1 species
CCCUAGCCUUCCAAGCUAACGAUGCGGGUUCGAUUCCCGCUACCCGCC